ACGAACGCUGGCGGCGUGCUUCACACAUGCCAGUCGUGCGGUAAGGCCCUUUCGGGGGUACCCGAGCGGCGAACGGGUGAGUAACACGUGAGCAACCUGCCCUUCACUUUGGGAUAACUGCCGGAAACGGUGGCUAAUACCGGAUAUGACUUCCUCACGCAUGUGGGGUGGUGGAAAGCCUUCGGGUGGUGGGGGAUGGGCUCGCGGUCUAUCAGCUUGUUGGUGGGGUGAUGGCCUACCAAGGCUUCGACGGGUAGCCGGCCUGAGAGGGUGACCGGCCACACUGGGACUGAGACACGGCCCAGACUCCUACGGGAGGCAGCAGUGGGGAAUAUUGGACAAUGGGCGAAAGCCUGAUCCAGCAACGCCGCGUGAGGGAUGACGGCCUUCGGGUUGUAAACCUCUUUCGCCUGCGACGAAGCGAGAGUGACGGUAGCAGGUAAAGAAGCACCGGCCAACUACGUG
rnacentral:rRNA from 1 species